rnacentral:piRNA from 1 species
AGCAGCUAUCUUUAGAAGGAGCCAUGUGCCUA